rnacentral:rRNA from 1 species
UACGUAGGGGGCUAGCGUUGUCCGGAAUCAUUGGGCGUAAAGAGCGUGUAGGCGGUCCGGUAAGUCCGCUGUGAAAGUCGGGGGCUCAACCCUCGAAUGCCGGUGGAUACUGUCGGGCUAGAGUGCGGAAGAGGCGAGUGGAAUUCCUGGUGUAGCGGUGAAAUGCGCAGAUAUCGGGAGGAACACCCGUAGCGAAGGCGGCACUCUGGGCCGGAACUGACGCUGAGGAGCGAAAGCGUGGGGAGCAAACAGG